rnacentral:tRNA from 1 species
GGGGUUGUGGCUCAGAGGUAGAGUGCACACCCAGUAUGCGUGAGACACUGGGUUUGAUCCUCAGCACCACA